UUUUAUUGAGCGCAAACACACGGAAUAGCAUCGCAUUUGUUGUGCAAAUCACAAUCAGAAAUUAUCGCAGCCGUUUUACUGCCAGUGACUCGCACCAAAACCGCAUACAUACACAACCUCACAACUGAGUUGGUGGUACGUGUUGCAAAUAGCAAAUCAGUGGCUUUUAUUGAGCGCAAAAACACGGAGUAGCAUCGCAUUUGCUGUGUAAAUCACAAUCAGAAAUUAUUGUCAGCCGUUUUAUUGCCAGUGACUCGCAUCAAAACCGUGCACAUACUCAAUUUCACAUCUGAGGUGGCGAUUCGUGACAUACAGACAGCAAAUCAUGAUUUCUAUUAUCGCCGAGCGAUGUGGAGUUUCUGAGCGGUUCGUUCGGUAUUUCUUAUCGCUAUAUGAAGUGGCACAUGAUCAAUUCCAUGAAAUCGAGCUGGUGUCAGAGUGCAUUCUCUUCUUAAAGUAUGCAAUCCAAAAUCGGAAUAAUCAAUCUGGAAUCA